rnacentral:lncRNA from 10 species
UGAUAAGCAUCACAAUUAAUUCCAGGAAUCAAUUUCCAAAUAGUGCUGUAAACUGAACCACACAUGGACACGCCAUUCUUCCGAGGACCCUUAGAUCGGCCCCAGGAGGAGCCCUAGCUGCUGUUCCCCAUUCGAUGCCCUUUUUCAGCAGGAAGUAGCCAGAAGGAGUCAUUGCCCAAAACCCCCUAACAGCAGUUAGUGUGGCUUCUCCGCAGGGGGGGAUGUCAUAGGAGUUACUAAGAAAUUAUUUUAGGCAGAUAGAGAGGAAAAGGGGUCCUUGGGAAGUUUUCGUUUUUUAAAGCAUCCCCAGAAAAGUUUCUUGUAAAGCUGCGGCUCCUAGAGCCAGGUCGGCAACCUUUGAUAUGCAAAUGCAAGCCAUUAGAAACUGAGUCCGCCCAAACAUGGCGAUUCCCGCAGGCCUUCUUGCCCUUUCCCCACAGGUUCCUGGCAACAUGGCCGCCCCCACGUAUCCCCACGUGUGUAGAACAUCAUGGUGCCCUGCAUUUGCAUAUUAAAAGGCUAGGGUGGGAGGACCAGCUUUUUUGAGGGCUGUGUGAACGACAUGCCCAGUCAAACCCAUCCCCUGAGCCCUAUGCAAAUCAGACACCGCCUCCUCCAGCCUCUGUAUAUAUACCUAGCUGGUAUCUGUGGCAGGUGGGGUUCCCUCUAUCGGCUUUGGAGCCUCCCUCCCUCUGUCUCUGUACAGGGGAGCUUCUUACUUCUCCCUUCCUUCUUGCCCUUUCUUGCCUAUUAAAUUCUCCGCUCCUUAAAAAAAAGAAAAUGAAAAUGGAGAAUAAGCUCCUCCCUGGAUGGGCUUUUUAGUAUGGUAAUGCUGAGAGCUCACCAAAAUUCAUCUCUAACUGAGGCAUCUGUCUUCCAGCUGGUUUUGGUUUUGCUAUAGCUGGGCUUCUUCCUGGAACAACGGAAGCUCAAGGCACAACAGUUACAAGUGGUUACCCUAUCACAGCGUAACCACAAAGACCAGGGACCCUGGGUUACAGGAUGAGUGUGGCUGGAGCCUAACAGGAUAAGAGGAGACUGGAACCAGAUCAUGCAGGGUCUUUGUGGCUCUUGAUAAGAAAUUGGGUUUUAUUCCAAGUUUAAUAGAAACUCUCCAAAAGGUCCUGAAUAGGUGAGUGCCAUGAUCUGAUUUGCUUCCAUGCGGAGAAAGGACUAGAUGGAAUAAGAAGGUUGUUGGACCUCCUUGUGCAAAAAAUGAUGGUGGCUUGGAUGAAGCGGCAGCUAUGGAGGGAAAGAAGCUGACAGAUUGACAGAUUUGGGAAUUGGCAAGACUUGAUCCAUGAGGAUUGGAUGUGCAGGAUGAGGGAGAGGGGAGAAAUUAAGGUGACUCAGAUUUUAAUUUGGGGAAAUACCAUCUCAUGGGUAUUAAAGUAAACAAAUACAUAAACUUAUUACUAUCUUAGUCAGUUUUUGUUAGGUUUUGCUCCAGUAACACAUAACCCUCAAUUCUCUGUGAUUUAUACAGCAAAAUCUUAUUUUCCAUUUGUGUUAUUUGUCCACUGUGAGUCCACUGUGGCUUUUCAAUUGGGAUCCAGGCUGAAGAAAUAGCCCCUGUCUAGGACACACCAAUCUAUGGCACAUGAGAAGAGCUGCUGUGGAACCAUGCAAUAGCUCUUAAAACAUCUACUCAAUGUGACACAUGUCAUUUCUGCUUGCAUUACAUUGGCAGAAGUAAGUUACACGUCAGAGAUGUCAAUGGGGCAAGGAAGAAUUAUUCUUUUACACAAAGGGAUAAUCAUUUGGAACCAUAAUAUAAAAUACCCCAAUUUCAAAUGCUGUUACGGUGCUCACCCCCAGGACAUGGCUUGUUAGGUUAGAAACUAAGGAAGUGGUGCUACAUGUCAGGGAUUUUUAUAUGCCUUACCUAAGGAAAGAAAGAUGAUAUGCAGAAUUUGG